UGGGCGUAAGCGUGCGCAGGCGGUUAUGUAAGACAGAUGUGAAAUCCCCGGGCUCAACCUGGGAACUGCAUUUGAGACUGCAUGGCUAGAGUGUGGCAGAGGGGGGUGGAAUUCCACGUGUAGCAGUGAAAUGCGUAGAUAUGUGGAGGAACACCGAUGGCGAAGGCAACCCCCUGGGCUAAUACUGACGCUCAUGCACGAAAGCGUGGGGAGCAAACAGGAUUAGAUACCCUGGUAGUCCACGCCCUAAACGAU
rnacentral:rRNA from 1 species